rnacentral:tRNA from 1 species
GCCCUCGUAGCUCAGGCGGAUAGAGCGGCGGUUUCCUAAACCGCAGGCCACAGGUUCAAGUCCUGUCGGGGGCA